rnacentral:rRNA from 1 species
CAAUAGCGUAUAUUAAAGUUGUUGCGGUUAAAAAGCUCGUAGUUGGAUUUCUGGUUGAGGCGCCUGGCCCGCCCGAGUUAUCGGAGUGAGUGCUGGUGUGUCUUUGCCAUCCUUGUUGAGACGGCGGCUGGCAUUUAUUUGUCGGUUGUCGAAUCUUCAUCAUUUACUUUGAACAAAAUAACGUGUUUCAAGCAGGCUUUAUGCCAUGAAUACUACAGCAUGGAAUAAUAAUUUAGGGCUCUCGCCCCAUUUUGUUGGUUUCUGGUUUGAGAGUAAUGAUUGAUAGGGGCAGUUGGGGGUGCUGGUAUUUCGCGGCCAGAGGUGAAAUUCAUGGAUUCGCGAAAGACCAACCUAAGCGAAAGCAUUCACCAAGGAUGUUUCCUUAAUCAAGAACGAAAGUUGGGGGAUCGAAGACGAUCAGAUACCAU